UAGCCGCAGAAUAUUGCCAUUCGACAAAGCAUAAGAUCUUUCAACUUUCAGAUUUAAUUAGUUUUAAGUGCUUAACACGGCUUGCAAUUUACAAGCAAUAAACUCACUUACUGGGAACUUAAAUAUUCAAUUUAUUUUUUAAAUAAAACAAUUAAUUCAGUUACUUUUAAAAUCAAUUUAAUUUAUGAUACAUGAAAGUGGUGACUCUAUAUAACUUUGGGCUGAUCGCACGGGCUCGUCCCGACAACGUAUCUUUGAAGUGUCUGCCUUAUCAACUGUCGAUGGUAGGUUAACGCGUCUACCAUGGUCGUAACGGAUGACGGAGAAUCAGGGUUCGAUAUCGGAGAGGGGGGGGCUGAGAAAUGGCUACCACAUCCAAGGAAGGCAGCAGGCGCAUAAAUUACCUACUCCCAGAACGGGGAGGUGGAGACGAAAAAUAUCAAUACAGGACUCUUCUGAGACCCCGUAACUGGAAUGAGUACACUCUAAAUCCUUUAACGAGGAUCAAUUGGAGGGAAAGUCUGGUGCCAGCAGCCGCGGUACUGAGUAA
rnacentral:ncRNA from 1 species